CGCCUCCCUCCGCCGCCACUCACGACUACCGUACGGGACGGACGAGCAGGUGGGGAAGUCGUUGCACAAUAGGACGAAAGUACUGAUGCAGCGACGCCGCGUGAGCGAUGAAGCCUUCGGGUGUAAAGCUCUUUCGACGGGAACGACAAUGACGGUACCCGGACGAACGAAGCUGCGGCUAACUACGUGCCAGCAGCCGCGGUAAUAC
rnacentral:rRNA from 1 species